GCAGACACAUUCCAGCCAAUCAGCAGCAGACCCUCCCUCCCAGACCUUCCCACCUCCUGGACAGCAUCCAUUUUGAAGCUGAAUUCUUAGUGAGCUGUCCAGGAGGUGGGAGGGUCUGGGAGGGAGGGUCUGCUGCUGAUUGGCCGGAAUGUGUCUG